GCGGCAGCGAGUUCAACACUGCGUACUUGAAUAUUCGAGUAUGGAGUGUUGAAUGUCGGCGAGAGGCGGACGGGUGAGUAACGCGUAGGAAUAUACCCCAAAGUGAGGGAUAAGCUCAAGAAAUUGAGUCUAAUACCGCAUAUGGUCUUCGGAUUAAAGCUUCGGCGCUUUGGGAAUAGCCUGCGUAUGAUUAGCUAGUUGGCGGGGUAAUGGCCCACCAAGGCGACGAUCAUUAGCUGGUCUGAGAGGAUGAUCAGCCACACUGGAACUGAGACACGGUCCAGACUCCUACGGGAGGCAGCAGUUAGGAAUAUUUCACAAUGGGCGAAAGCCUGAUGAAGCAACGCCGCGUGCAGGACGAAGGCCUUCGGGUCGUAAACUGCUUUUAUGAGUGAAGAAUAUGACGGUAACUCAUGAAUAAGGGUCUGCUAACUACGUGCCAGCAGCCGCGGUCAUACGUGGGACCCAAGCGUUAUCCGGAUUAACCGGGCGUAAAGAGUUGCGUAGGCGGUUUGUUAAGCGAAUAGUGAAACCUGGUGGCUCAACCAUUCAGACUAUUAUUCGAACUGGCAAACUAGAGAUCAGUAGGGGUACCUGGAAUUUCUAAUGUAGGGGUAAUAUCCGUAGAUAUUAGAAGGAACACCGAUAGCGUAGGCAGGGUACUGGACUGAUUCUGACGCUCAGGCACGAAAGCGUGGGG
rnacentral:rRNA from 1 species